rnacentral:rRNA from 1 species
AGCGAACGUUAGCGGCGGGCCUAACACAUGCAAGUCGAGCGAGAAAGUGGCUUCGGCCACGAGUAAAGCGGCGGACGGGUGAGUAACACGUAGGUAAUCUUCCCUUGAGCGGGGGACAACGAGCCGAAAGGCUCGCUAAUACCGCAUACGUUUCCAGAGGCCCCGGGCUCUGGCAGGAAAGCUAGGCCGCAAGGUCUGGCACUCGACGAGGCGCCGGCGUCGCAUCAGCUAGUUGGUGGGGUAACGGCCUACCAAGGCGAAGACGCGUAGCUGGUCUGAGAGGAUGAUCAGCCACACUGGGACUGAGACACGGCCCAGACUCCUACGGGAGGCAGCAGUGGGGAAUAUUGGACAAUGGGCGCAAGCCUGAUCCAGCCACGCCGCGUGAGUGAUGAAGGCCUUCGGGUCGUAAAGCUCUGUGGGGAGGGACGAACCGCUGCACGUUCAUAGCGUGCAGCAUGACGGUACCUCCUUAGCAAGCACCGGCUAACUUCGUGCCAGCCGCCGCAGUAA